rnacentral:rRNA from 1 species
AACGAACGCUGGCGGCAGGCCUAAUACAUGCAAGUCGAACGGUGUCUUCGGACAUAGUGGCGCACGGGUGCGUAACACGUAUGCAACCUACCUUACAUUGGGGGAUAGCCUUUCGAAAGGGAGAUUAAUACCGCAUAAGACAGUAGCUGGGCAUCCAGCAGCUGUUAAAGAUUUAUCGAUGUAAGCUGGGCAUGCGUCCAAUUAGCUAGUUGGUGAGGUAACGGCUCACCAAGGCAAUGAUUGGUAGGGGAACUGAGAGGUCAAUCCCCCACACUGGCACUGAGAUCCGGGCCAGACUCCUACGGGAGGCAGCAGUAGGGAAUAUUGGGCAAUGGACGCAAGUCUGACCCAGCCAUGCCGCGUGCAGGAUGAAGGCGUUAUGCGUUGUAAACUGCUUUUAUACAGGAAGAAACGACUCUUGCGAGAGGCAUUGACGGUACUGUAUGAAUAAGCACCGGCUAACUCCGUGCCAGCCGCCGCCGUAAAAC